AUGCAGUCGAGCGGCAGCACAAGGGAGUUUACUCCUGAGGUGGCGAGCGGCGGACGGGUGAGUAAUGCCUAGGGAUCUGCCCAGUCGAGGGGGAUAACAGUUGGAAACGACUGCUAAUACCGCAUACGCCCUACGGGGGAAAGAGGGGGACUUUCGGGCCUCUCGCGAUUGGAUGAACCUAGGUGGGAUUAGCUAGUUGGUGAGGUAAUGGCUCACCAAGGCGACGAUCCCUAGCUGUUCUGAGAGGAUGAUCAGCCACACUGGGACUGAGACACGGCCCAGACUCCUACGGGAGGCAGCAGUGGGGAAUAUUGCACAAUGGGGGAAACCCUGAUGCAGCCAUGCCGCGUGUGUGAAGAAGGCCUUCGGGUUGUAAAGCACUUUCAGUAGGGAGGAAAGGGUGAGUCUUAAUACGGCUCAUCUGUGACGUUACCUACAGAAGAAGGACCGGCUAACUCCGUGCCAGCAGCCGCGGUAAUACGGAGGGUCCGAGCGUUAAUCGGAAUUACUGGGCGUAAAGCGUGCGCAGGCGGUUUGUUAAGCGAGAUGUGAAAGCCCUGGGCUCAACCUGGGAACUGCAUCUGAUACUGGCAGGCUUGAGUCUCGUAGAGGGGGGUAGAAUUCCAGGUGUAGCGGUGAAAUGCGUAGAGAUCUGGAGGAAUACGGUGGCGAAGGCGGCCCCUGGACAAAGAUGACGCUCGGUGCGAAACGUGGGAGCAACAGGAUAG
rnacentral:rRNA from 1 species